GAUCUUGAAGAUUUUUUGUUCAGAAUGAUGUCGCCCACACCCACUUUUUUCAAGUAGAUGGUUGAAUGUUGAUCCAUCCAUGUAAAGAUUCGCAUGCAUGGACGUACAUGAAAACAGAAUCAAUUAUUAAUUUGCUGAUCCUAAUCACAAGAAGACAAUAAAUCAGGCUAUUGGGUUUUUCUUUCCAUGAAUGCAUGCAUGCCGAUGCAUGGCCGUCUUUGUCUGGACGUUCUAGCCGAAUCACUCAGCGAUCAAUUCCAAGGCUGCAGAAGGAGUGGCGCUAAGGCCCCUUCGCGGCGGGAGCGUGCCGCACCGAGGAGCCUGUAUCGUCCGCCAACCGAGAUUUUGUCUCCCAUGCAACCCUGUCGGGAGGACGACGAGGCGUUGGAUCCUGUAGGCGAGCGUUGCGGAUGUUGUACCGUCUCACAUGGCCUUUUUCUCUCAAAAUAAAGAGCGAAGUGCUGAUAACGUGUUUGAAAUAGAAAGUAAAGAACGAGAGAGAUGAAUGAAAG
rnacentral:lncRNA from 1 species